rnacentral:tRNA from 1 species
CCCUCGAUAGCUCAGUUGGCAGAUCGGAGGACUGUAGAUGUAAUUAAACGGUGAUCCUUAGGUCGCUGGUUCAAAUCCGGCUCGAGGUA